rfam:Aphanomyces astaci strain APO3 cont1.3649, whole genome shotgun sequence.
GGGAAAAUAGCUCAGUGGAAGAGCAUCGGUUUCUUAACUCAAAGUUCGCGGUUCGAUCCCCGGUUUCCACG